GAUGAACGCUGGCGGCGUGCCUAAUACAUGCAAGUCGAGCGAACGGACGAGAAGCUUGCUUCUCUGAUGUUAGCGGCGGACGGGUGAGUAACACGUGGAUAACCUACCUAUAAGACUGGGAUAACUUCGGGAAACCGGAGCUAAUACCGGAUAAUAUUUUGAACCGCAUGGUUCAAAAGUGAAAGACGGUCUUGCUGUCACUUAUAGAUGGAUCCGCGCUGCAUUAGCUAGUUGGUAAGGUAACGGCUUACCAAGGCAACGAUGCAUAGCCGACCUGAGAGGGUGAUCGGCCACACUGGAACUGAGACACGGUCCAGACUCCUACGGGAGGCAGCAGUAGGGAAUCUUCCGCAAUGGGCGAAAGCCUGACGGAGCAACGCCGCGUGAGUGAUGAAGGUCUUCGGAUCGUAAAACUCUGUUAUUAGAGAAGAACAUAUGUGUAAGUAACUGUGCACAUCUUGACGGUACCUAAUCAGAAAGCCACGGCUAACUACGUGCCAGCAGCCGCGGUAAUACGUAGGUGGCAAGCGUUAUCCGGAAUUAUUGGGCGUAAAGCGCGCGUAGGCGGUUUUUUAAGUCUGAUGUGAAAGCCCACGGCUCAACCGUGGAGGGUCAUUGGAAACUGGAAAACUUGAGUGCAGAAGAGGAAAGUGGAAUUCCAUGUGUAGCGGUGAAAUGCGCAGAGAUAUGGAGGAACACCAGUGGCGAAGGCGACUUUCUGGUCUGUAACUGACGCUGAUGUGCGAAAGCGUGGGGAUCAAACAGGAUUAGAUACCCUGGUAGUCCACGCCGUAAACGAUGAGUGCUAAGUGUUAGGGGGUUUCCGCCCCCUAGUGCUGCAGCUAACGCAUUAAGCACUCCGCCUGGGGAGUACGACCGCAAGGUUGAAACUCAAAGGAAUUGACGGGGACCCGCACAAGCGGUGGAGCAUGUGGUUUAAUUCGAAGCAACGCGAAGAACCUUACCAAAUCUUGACAUCCUUUGACAACUCUAGAGAUAGAGCCUUCCCCUUCGGGGGACAAAGUGACAGGUGGUGCAUGGUUGUCGUCAGCUCGUGUCGUGAGAUGUUGGGUUAAGUCCCGCAACGAGCGCAACCCUUAAGCUUAGUUGCCAUCAUUAAGUUGGGCACUCUAAGUUGACUGCCGGUGACAAACCGGAGGAAGGUGGGGAUGACGUCAAAUCAUCAUGCCCCUUAUGAUUUGGGCUACACACGUGCUACAAUGGACAAUACAAAGGGCAGCGAAACCGCGAGGUCAAGCAAAUCCCAUAAAGUUGUUCUCAGUUCGGAUUGUAGUCUGCAACUCGACUAUAUGAAGCUGGAAUCGCUAGUAAUCGUAGAUCAGCAUGCUACGGUGAAUACGUUCCCGGGUCU
rnacentral:rRNA from 1 species